UCUUGACAUCCUUAUGACCUCCCUAGAGAUAGGGAUUUCCCUUCGGGGACAUAAGUGACAGGUGGUGCAUGGUUGUCGUCAGCUCGUGUCGUGAGAUGUUGGGUUAAGUCCCGCAACGAGCGCAACCCUUGAUCUUAGUUGCCAGCAUUUAGUUGGGCACUCUAAGGUGACUGCCGGUGACAAACCGGAGGAAGGUGGGGAUGACGUCAAAUCAUCAUGCCCCUUAUGACCUGGGCUACACACGUGCUACAAUGGAUGGUACAAAGGGCAGCGAAGCCGCGAGGUGGAGCCAAUCCCAUAAAGCCAUUCUCAGUUCGGAUUGUAGGCUGCAACUCGCCUACAUGAAGCCGGAAUUGAUAGUAAUCGCGGAUCAGCAUGCCGCGGUGAAUACGUUCCCGGGCCUUGUACACACCGCCCGUCACACCACGAGAGUUUGUAACACCCGAAGUCGGUGGGGUAACCUUUUGGAGCCAGCCGCCUAAGGUGGGACAGA
rnacentral:rRNA from 1 species